AACGAACGCUGGCGGCAUGCCUAACACAUGCAAGUCGAACGAUGCCUUCGGGCAUAGUGGCGCACGGGUGCGUAACGCGUGGGAAUCUGCCUUUCGGUUCUGAAUAACUCAGGGAAACUUGCGCUAAUACCUGAUAACGUCGCAAGACCAAAGAUUUAUCACCGAAGGAUGAGCCCGCGUAGGAUUAGCUAGUUGGUGAGGUAAAGGCUCACCAAGGCGACGAUCCUUAGCUGGUCUGAGAGGAUGAUCAGCCACACUGGGACUGAGACACGGCCCAGACUCCUACGGGAGGCAGCAGUGAGGAAUAAUGGACAAUGGGCGAAAGCCUGAUCCAGCAAUGCCGCGUGAGUGAUGAAGGCCUUAGGGUUGUAAAGCUCUAUUACCCGGGAAGAUAAUGACGGUACCGGGAGAAUAAGCCCCGGCUAACUCCGUG
rnacentral:rRNA from 1 species